AAUAUAAGAAUAAUUCAGAUGAGAUAUUGAAUAUAGUUAUAAUAUGUAUUUAUAAAGGUGCAUUAAUUAAUAUACGGGUGGGCAGGUGCGUGUAGUGUGUUUACAAUACCGGUUUUAUUGUCUCGAUGCGAAUGAUAUUAUAAAUAUAGGAAUAUUAAUAGAAAAAGUCGGACAAUUGUGUGACAAAGUUAGGGUAAAAGGGACGUAUUUCAUAUCGGUGAGGAAUUCAUUAUACAUUUCGCCAUCUUGAAAGUUUAAUAUUACAGACAGACGAAAAAAAAAGUAACAACACUUUCAUGUCUUCUGUGAUUGAUUGAAAUAAACCACAUGACUGGAAAUAGCUAGAAGCGUUUGCGGUGAUCUACCAUAGAAGUGUUUAAAUUUUGGUAUUAAUAUUGUUAGAGAGGGGAGUUUUUAUUAAAAAGAUAUUGUAACACGGGGAUCAGAUUAAUUAAUAGUCAUGGUGGACACCUUUGGUGUAAUCAUGUACAGUGAAACCCCGCUAUCUCGAGCAUGAAUAAAUGGGAACUAUAAGCAAUGUGUGUGAUCUAGUUAGAUUCUGUCAUCUAGAGGGGAAAUAUGUUCUACAGUCGGAUCUCACUAUCUAUAACAUGGUUACAACAAGAACUGAACUAAAUCUGAAGUAGAAGAAGAUAGUGUGUUUAAGAUAAUUUCUCUCAACCAGUCGUGGACGGCUAGUAGGCAGGAAAACUAAACAACAAAGAAAUAGACAGGGCAUAUGACAUAGGAAAACUGAGUGACGAUACUAUAGUAAAACCCCGUCUUCGAAAUAUAAUUUGUCAAGGUAUAGCCUGAGAUUGUCCAUAAAUUCAAAAUGAAUACAGAUGUUAGUACGACAAUGCGUGCUCGUCGCGUAGUAUAUGAUGAUUACACCAAAGGAUUUUAUGUAGAAAGUCGCGUGGAAGCUCUGCACAGACAGGUUGACACUAGAGCUAAAUUAACCAGUGUUUUAAAUCGUUCCCAGGACUGUAAGUUGGAAUAUUCUAAAGGGAAGGUCGAAGCCGCUCGAGGGAUUUUCACCAGGAAAACGGAAAGUGAGAUUGAUCAUCAUAAAGGUAAUCUGAAGGACUACGUUGCACAUAGACACAUUUUGGAUAGAAUGGCGGCCAUCAAUAAACGCAAGGGUGUGAGCAGUGCUUUAGGGAAGUAUGGUAUCGGAUGCGCCAAGGUUGACAUUCAACCUUUGAUAGAUAGACAGGUUAAAGAGACAACCCCGUCAGCCACAAGGAGGCGAGAAGCUAAAAAACUAGUAAAAAAACGCAAAAUGGUUGAAGUGUGGGAUCGAAACCUGAGUACACCAGAAUUAAUUAAUGCCGGAAAAAAUAACGUCCAAAACUCCCGCCAAAAUACGAAAGAUUGUAUUCGCACGCGUAAAUCACCGCAUAUAGUUCUCCCUUCGUUGAUGCCACGAUCAUUAUCGACAGACCUGGUUUUCCAUUCAUCAUCUUCGCCAGGACAAUCACACAAAAGCCCAGAACUAAUAUUACCGUCAGUUUUCGUUACUCUAAAACCUGAACGAGAGAUCUGAUAACCACCAUUUUAGAAAUAACCCCAUUGUGUGUUAUAAAUUUUCGCAUUCUCAAUUCGAACCUAGUUAGGCUUGUGCAGGGCCGGAUAAAGACCCAUAGAGUCCCUAAGCACUUACAAAAUUUCGGUGGCCCCAUGUAUAAGUAAUUCAAAUCAUAAACAAUAAUAAACCAUAAACAAACCGUCAUGCACGUGAUUGGAUUUUUUAAAGAGGUUUUAUACACGCCAUUAUUAACUGAGAUAAAGCAGGUAACAAAAACAAAAAAAAAAACAUUUAAAAUAUAUAUUUUACAUGUGACAUCUAACAAAAUCGAAAUUCUGUGGUGCUGAUUUUGCUUUAUUGUUAUUCUAGCCCCGAGCCUUAUUAACUAGACGACGUCCAUGAAUGAGAAGUGUUAUCAGAUGUUCUAGAAACGGUUGUUAUUUUAUAUAGAUUUUGAAAACUAUUUACACAGGCGCGGAAGAUUAUUUUUAAUAUUUUUGUGUUUGCUUUUAUAUUUGUAUUAAAUUAUAGUUAUUUAUAUUUGCUCGUUGAUAAAUUGUAUACAUAUA